GAUGAACGCUGGCGGCGUGCCUAAUACAUGCAAGUCGAGCGAACAGACGAGGAGCUUGCUCCUCUGACGUUAGCGGCGGACGGGUGAGUAACACGUGGAUAACCUACCUAUAAGACUGGGAUACUUCGGGAAACCGGAGCUAAUACCGGAUAAUAUAUUGAACCGCAUGGUUCAAUAGUGAAAGACGGUUUUGCUGUCACUUAUAGAUGGAUCCGCGCCGCAUUAGCUAGUUGGUAAGGUAACGGCUUACCAAGGCAACGAUGCGUAGCCGACCUGAGAGGGUGAUCGGCCACACUGGAACUGAGACACGGUCCAGACUCCUACGGGAGGCAGCAGUAGGGAAUCUUCCGCAAUGGGCGAAAGCCUGACGGAGCAACGCCGCGUGAGUGAUGAAGGUCUUCGGAUCGUAAAACUCUGUUAUUAGGGAAGAGCAAAUGUGUAAGUAACUAUGCACGUCUUGACGGUACCUAAUCAGAAAGCCACGGCUAACUACGUG
rnacentral:rRNA from 1 species